GACGAACGCUGGCGGCGUGCCUAAUACAUGCAAGUAGAACGCUGAAGCGAGGAGCUUGCUCUUCUUGGAUGAGUUGCGAACGGGUGAGUAACGCGUAGGUAACCUGCCUUGUAGCGGGGGAUAGCUAUUGGAAACGAUAGCUAAUACCGCAUAACAAUGGAUGACACAUGUCAUUUAUUUGAAAGGGGCAAUUGCUCCACUACAAGAUGGACCUGCGUUGUAUUAGCUAGUAGGUGAGGUAAUGGCUCACCUAGGCGACGAUACAUAGCCGACCUGAGAGGGUGAUCGGCCACACUGGGACUGAGACACGGCCCAGACUCCUACGGGAGGCAGCAGUAGGGAAUCUUCGGCAAUGGGGGCAACCCUGACCGAGCAACGCCGCGUGAGUGAAGAAGGUUUUCGGAUCGUAAAGCUCUGUUGUAAGUCAAGAACGGGUGUGAGAGUGGAAAGUUCACACUGUGACGGUAGCUUACCAGAAAGGGACGGCUAACUACGUG
rnacentral:rRNA from 1 species